GACGAACGCUGGCGGCGUGCUUAACACAUGCAAGUCGAACGGAAAGGCCCUGCUUUUGUGGGGUGCUCGAGUGGCGAACGGGUGAGUAACACGUGAGUAACCUGCCCUUGACUUUGGGAUAACUUCAGGAAACUGGGGCUAAUACCGGAUAGGAGCUCCUGCUGCAUGGUGGGGGUUGGAAAGUUUCGGCGGUUGGGGAUGGACUCGCGGCUUAUCAGCUUGUUGGUGGGGUAGUGGCUUACCAAGGCUUUGACGGGUAGCCGGCCUGAGAGGGUGACCGGACAUAUUGGGAGUGAUAGACGGCCGAGACUCCGACGGGGGGGAGCGGUGGGGAAUAGUGCAACAUGGGCGGAAUCCUAAUGCAGCACCGCCGCGGGCGGGAUGAGGGCCGUCGGGUUGUAAACCGCUUUCGCCUGUGACGAAGGGUGAGGGACGGUAAUGGGAAAAGAAGCACCGGCUAACUACGUC
rnacentral:rRNA from 1 species